AAGGGAACAGUUCUCAUUUUAGGUCGCAGCUUACCUUCGGCAUCCAUAGACCUGUCAAUUAGCCCUCUCCCUGUAUUCUGAUUCAUUUCCAGCAGCAGACGUGCCAAAGACUGGCAGGAACUCAGGGAAAUAUAUCCUGAGCACAGGUGAGACUCACUGCUACCUCUAGGUCGAGAUGAGAUUUCUGUCGUGCAUUAAGCUAAUUUGGAUUGUGAAUGAAUACAAGUCCAGGAAGUCGAUUCUGAGACCCGAUACCCUGCGAGGGGAGUGCAGGAUAAGCAGGAGACAUUAAUUAGCGCUGCCUUAAGCAGUUUUACCGACGCAGGCGGGACUGUGGUGGAGCACUGGAGAUGCUGCGAGCCCUGAGCUGCCUUCACAGCCUUGUUGGGUGUGCUGCUGGAUCACACUGCAUGAGAAAUGGAAGCAACCUAUCUGUAAAGAGCCUGCAAACCUCAGGACGCUCUGGAAGCCAGUGGAAUAAUUACAGUGGGAUGAGGCUGCAAGUCCCCUUGCUUCCUGAGCUGCAUUCAUGGCUGUGUGAAGGGGAGAAAGGAAUACAUUUGAGGUCUUUUCAUGGAAGACACAGAUAUUUUAAUGUUGCGAUACCAUCCAACAGGGUGAGCUGAGAGAACCAACACUAAGAGUUUCACAGAUAGAACACCACUAUUCCCUGUGUAAAACAGGAGGUAGGCAGGCGUAGGCCUCCCCUGGAAAACAAUGUUUUAAGAGCUCAUAAAUACCUAGACGUCAAAUCAUCCUCGUUUCUAGUGUUUGUAUAGAUAUUUCCAAUAAUAUAUUUAGUGGGCUCACUUUUUUAUUUUGUGCAUUUAUCCUGGUUUAUUGUUUAUUUUUCCUGAAUUAUUGGCCAAUGAAUAUUUAUAUUAGAACAGAAAAAAAUAUAUUCUAAAAUUAAUGUCAUAAAAAUAAGUUACAUCAGUUAGAUGUCCUCUGCAUGAGAAAGGGAUAAGAUGGAUUGCUAAAUAUCCCCUGGGGCUGAGCCAGCAAGACUAGGACUGCACACCCCUCAUCAUUAGCAAGGACACAAAAUCACGGAGGAGACCCAGUUGGCCAGGGCAGACCAGCCAGGCAGUGCUGUGUCGAACGCAUGAUGAAUGUGGUGGAUGCAUUGAGCUCUCUUCCCAGCUGAGGAGUUAAAGAGAAACAUUUAGUAAAAAGGGCCAGGAUUUAGUCACAAUGCUACCCUCUCCCGAUAGAAUAAUUAAGCAAUGAACACAGCUGCACAUUUCUGGAAUGGACACUGCGAGAAAGGUGUAGUUUUUCCAUGUUGUAUGGCAUUUGUUUUCUUGCAAACAGGCAAGCACGGGCUAGGACUGUUUCUACGCCUGUCUGCACUGUGAUAUGCACUGUCUUCGCUGCAGAAGAGCACCACAAUGCUGCCUUCAUAUUCCGGAACAUGCCAGGCUCAGUUUUCUUUCUUUAAGUCCUCAUUUUCUGCUUAAUGUGCAUACUAGGGCUAAAAAAAGCCUAACUCCUAUUUUCUCCCUUCUCCUGAGGUCCUUCUGGGUCAAGAUGGCUCCAGGCUGACAGGGUUGUGGGAAGGCGCGGUCUGGCUCUAGUCUGAUUCUCCAAUCAGAACACAAGACAGUGAGCGUUAAGCUGUCCUUUCCGCUGCUGAGUGACCUUGGAGGACUCAUUAAUCUCUCUGGCCCCAGUUUCCUCAUCUCUAUGGUCACACAAGGAGAGUGAUGAAGCCUGCAUGUUCACUGUGGACUCAGAAGCCACUGGGCUUUGUCAUGUUGCCCUCUGCCCCCACCAUUCCAUAAUAGAGAAAGGGAUUGAGCCCUGGAAGUUAUAUCAUUUAAAUAUCUUGAGAGUAUAAGAGGUGGAAGCAAUUUCUCCCAGCUGGGUGGAGACAACAUCGCUAAUUCCUGAGAGGUGUGGACAUGUGUUCCAGGAAGAGGGAAGACCUUGAGUAAGUGUCUGGAGGUGAGAGAACAGGUAAGUCUGAGAAGAGGAAGGUGAUGUCCAUGUCAUUGGACCGUUUUUGAGGGUACAUGCAGGAGAAUAUGUGUGACUAAGAAUUGUAAAUGUUGUUUGAGGCCAAAUUUGGAGAGAUUUGAGUGCCAGGCAGGAUUAGGAUUUUAAUCCCUCAGCCACCAGUGUUUUUGGUGCAAGGUCAAUACACACUCAGUGCUGUAUUCCAACAGCAAUGUAUACAAUUUAUUACAGAGAAGGGAGGUGACCAGCUACCAGAGUAUCACAACUGCAAGAAGCUGAGGUUUUGUGGUACUGGGGAAAGAGGAGUGAUCCACAGGCCUUACUAAUUCUCUCCCUUCCAGACUGUAUUAGUUAAGAUUCUCUAGAGGGAGAGAACUAAUGGAAUAUAUAUAUAUAUAUAUAUACAUAUAUAUAUAUAUGUAUAUGUAUAUAUAUAUGUAUAUGUACAUAUGCAUAUACAGA
rnacentral:lncRNA from 1 species